rnacentral:lncRNA from 1 species
CCAUCUUCACCAACUGUUCUGGGGCUGGAACAUUGAGAUUCUGAGAGGCAGCGGGUCUAUUGGAAUGCACAAGAGGCAGCCUGCCUGCCAUCUCCUCUUCUUUUCUUGGGCUGUGUUCCCAGAGAAGGCGAGAACCUUCUUCUUCAUGUCUCCUGGGUGGAACAUUUAAAUUCUCCCGGGAAACCCCACUAAUUCAAAACCCACUGAUUCAGAAUUUGUGAUCAUUUGAAUGGGGACUUGGAUGAACUUUCUCCUUGAACUAUAUAUGUGAUGGAAGGAGUUUUCUAAUCACAUAAAUAGAGGAAGAUUUUAAGAGUAAUGAUGGAUUUAAAAGCUACUUUUCAAAGGUUUUAGGAGAAAUCGGAAGCAUAGAAGAGAUCUGGGCUCAUUCAGCUCAAUCACAGACUGGGACACUGGUCUUCUCCUUCCUUUGGACUCAGACUCAGACUUAGACUGGAAUUUACAACAUCAACUCACCUGGGUUUCCAGCUUGCCAACUUCAGAUCUUGGACUUCUCAUCUUCUAUAAUCAUGAUCUGUUCCAGAAGGAACUGCUGGAUCAAAGCAUGUGCGAACUCUUAAGGCUUCUGAUACAUAUUGCCAAAUUACCACUCGAAGGACUUACCAGCAGUGAAUGGGAGAACCUCUUCCCCAGGGUCCUGACCCACCCAACCAUAAACACACAAUAAGGAAGUAAGGGGGAU